rnacentral:misc_RNA from 1 species
CAACCAUCAAGCCCCGGGCUUGUGUUGGGGACCUGCGUCCGACGCAGGCCCCGAAAACCAGUGGCGGGCUCGCUGUCCACACCGAGCGUAGUAGCUAACCUCGCUCCGGAGUGGCGCGGGCGCCUGCCGUAAAACCCCCCAAUUUUACAA